CAAUCACAUAUGUCAUGGGAGGAUGGUGACCAUCAAACAAGAGCUGGCUGGAAUGCAGAUGACCCCCAGGACCACCUUGGAAGCCACCAGUUAAAAGACAGCAGAGCCUCUAUCAGCUCGGCUGCCCAAAUGAUACACAAGGAGGAGCUCCACUGACCCAUGCAGUUUACCCAGUCCUGUUCUGUGAACAAGAAAUAACUCUAUGGUUUCUGGAACUCUCUCCAAGUAACUCAUUCCGCCUCUUCCCAUCUCACCAGUCAUCAGGUUGGAAACCCUAAAUUGGAUGAACUACUCUAUUCCAUUUCUGAUAUUUAUUAGGUAAGAAUUUUUAAUUAUAUUAUGGUUUCCAUGUGUGUUUAUUUCCUGCCACAAGUCCUCAGUGAGCACUUAUGAGUUCCCCUUCCAGUCACCUGGGGAUGCAUCAGUGAGCAAAACCAGUGAAAUCAUGUCUCUACCAAUUUCUCCACUGAAGGGUGA